GCCGGGUGUGGUGGUGGGCGCCUGUAAUCCCAGCUACUCAGGAGGCUGAGGCAGGAGAAUCGCUUGAACCUGGGAGGUGGAGGUUGCAGUGAGCCAAGAUCGUACCACUGCACCUCAGCCUGGGCAACAGAGCGAGACUCUGUCUCAA
rnacentral:SRP_RNA from 1 species